rnacentral:misc_RNA from 1 species
UUAAGUUCAGCGGGUAGUCCUACCUGAUUUGAGGCCAAAGUGUUAAGUAAGUUGUCCGCAAGGGACGAUUAGAAGCUGCACAUAUAGAACAGGCCUAAGGCGACGGCGCAGAUAAUUAUCACACCAUGCCGAGCACUGUAAAAAGCGCAAGCUAAUGCAUUUAAGGAUGAGCCAAUUACGGCACAAUCCAAAUCCACCAC